rnacentral:piRNA from 1 species
UAUCAAUGUUGAUGACAUCAUUUCUUAAUC